rnacentral:pre_miRNA from 1 species
AGUGUGACUGCUGGAUCAUAUGGUAAGAAUACUGCUUUGUAAGAAACCAUCAAAUUGUUUUCGAAAGUGGCUGUACCAUUGUGCAUUCCCAUCAGCAAU